CCUGAAACACUGGGCCUGAAACAUUAACUCUGCUUUCUCUCCACAGAUGCAGCCAAUCCUGCUGAAAUUCUUUAGCAAAUUUUGUUUCCAGUUUCCUAACUCUCUGAUUGAUUUGAACCAUUUUCCUAUUUGCCUUUUCCUCUACUACACAGAUGGCAGACGAUUGCUGCAUGGAUGUGAUUGGAAACUUUCUCGGUCCAGGUUCAAGAUUAGGAAUCUCUGUGCAGAACAGCAAAGACAUUCAUAUCUGGAACAUCAGUUCAGAUGGAGUCAUACUGAGUGGAAUAAUACCUGAUCUAGUUAUUGAUAUAAAAGGUGGUCAGCAUUACGACCAGAAUCAAACCAUUCUCAGCAGAUUUGAUGAGGUUCAACAAACACAAAGAUGGGACCUAGAAAUCCUUUGAUUCAUUCCUCGUGGAAACAGGAAAUCAAACACACAAGGCACUUUUGAAAGAUUGUGAACCUUUUCAUUUUACUAUCAGUAGUGCAAUAUUUCACUUUUAAGUGAACGCCAGACACAAAAAAUUGGAAUUCAUGGCAAGACUGGUGGGAAAGUCAUCUCCACUAAAUGUUUACUUCUAAGCAAGUACUGCUCACUCUAUGCAACGUAACCAAAUCUGAUGUAGUGUCUGAAGUCUUUAUCAUUUUUCAAGAUUAGUUCAUAUAUUGGCAGCAGGGACUGGUUGCUAUUGUUUCAGUAACAAAAUGAAACAUUCUCAUUCCUGGUGUAAACCUAUUUUGUUUUAAAAGAAACAGGUAUUUAUACUUGAUAAACACUGUGCUCACUCUAUGGUUUUAUUGAACAUCGGAAGGCUUGUUUAUUGUUUGGGUUUAAUGUCUUCUAUUAGUGACGCAGCAUAUUAGGAUUGUUUAAGUAUGUUUCUUCUCAAAAGCAAAACCAGACCAACACCACUUGUCUGGUGUAAUUGCUGUACGUAUCAAUCAAGUCAUAUCCAAUUCCCUUAAUUUCAAAGAAGUUAUUCACACAGUGGAGAAAAUAAGAUUGAAUAUCAAUAACAUUGAAUGCCAUAAUUAAUGUAAAUGGUAACAUCUACAUUUCAGAGUAUUAUAUAGCAUGUUAUUCUCAUCUUGAAGGUCAUAAGAUAAAAUGUUGGUGAACAGGUUACUGUUUUAUUGCACCAUGACAUCCUUGCAGAUAAGCUUAAAUACUUUAUGUAGCAAGCACUAUGCCACUGUCUCCUGGUUUGGUAAAAACAUGAAAGUAUUUAUAAGAAACAUUUAGUCAGAUGACAUGGACAUGAGACUCUCAUGAAAUUUACAGCAACUGUGCUCUCUAUUUUUAAAUCAAUUAACAGAAGUCAAUUCAUUUUAGUUUCUAAGGCAAUUUAAGAACUGUCCUUUGAAACAGUGUUGCUCCCAGUUGGAUUUCUUGAUUUCAAUUUAGAGUUUUAAAUUACUGCCAAUAUGUCUAGUGUUUGCAUUAGUAACAUAUUCUAUACAGUUACAACUUUUAGUAACACAAAGAUUUAAAAAUAAAACAUUCCAAAGAACUACCCAACAACAGGUCCUACUGAAAGUGAUGGUAGCAUGGUGGCUUUGGUGUUAUAUCACUUCUGCUUGUGCCACAUAUUGAGACAUGUUACUGGCAGGCCAGGAUUUGUUUUAUGUUAGAGAAUCAGUAGAUGUUUAUAAACUGCUGUUUUGUUUGAUAAUUGCAUCAAGGUUUGUAAUCUGUAUCAGUUGCAGCAAUUUGUAAUUUGAUAAUUUUUUAACCUUUUAAUUGAUCAUGUUAAGUAUACAGAACUUCUAUCAGAUGCUUUAUUGAUAGUUUGAGGUAAUGGGAAUAACUUGAGAACUGUAUCAGUGUGGUGGUAUAGUUUUACUCUGAGAUUUUAUGCUGUCUAAAUUUACCCCAAUUCCUUGUUUUCACCAGCUGAACUAUUGUUACACUAGUUCUUGACAACUGUUUUGAUGAAUGGUGGACUGUAUUUUAUUACCCCAUUUAUUACGGACAGCAGCUGCACUACUGUUUUCAUUUCAAGGUACUGAACCAUGUUUAUGUAACGACUUUAAAUAAAAUGUACAACGUUUUGAGUUAA